GACGAACGCUGGCGGCGUGCUUAACACAUGCAAGUCGAACGCUGAAGCUCAGCUUGCUGAGUGGAUGAGUGGCGAACGGGUGAGUAACACGUGAGUAACCUGCCCUCUUCUUUGGGAUAACGCCCGGAAACGGGUGCUAAUACUGGAUAUUCACUGAUUCUCGCAUGGGGGUUGGUGGAAAGGUUUUUUCUGGUGGGGGAUGGGCUCGCGGCCUAUCAGCUUGUUGGUGGGGUGAUGGCCUACCAAGGCUUUGACGGGUAGCCGGCCUGAGAGGGUGACCGGUCACAUUGGGACUGAGAUACGGCCCAGACUCCUACGGGAGGCAGCAGUGGGGAAUAUAGCACAAUGGGCGAAAGCCUGAUGCAGCGACGCCGCGUGAGGGAUGGAGGCCUUCGGGUUGUAAACCUCUUUCGCUCAUGGUCAAGCCGCAGCUUUGGGUUGUGGUGAGGGUAGUGGGUAAAGAAGCGCCGGCUAACUACGUG
rnacentral:rRNA from 1 species